UACAUGGGGUGCAAACGUUGCUCGGAAUCAUUGGGCGUAAAGCGCGCGUAGGCGGUUACUUAAGUUGGAUGUGAAAGCCCUCGGCUUAACUGAGGAAGUGCAUCCAAAACUGAGUAGCUAGAGUACGAAAGAGGGUCGCGGAAUUCCCGGUGUAGAGGUGAAAUUCGUAGAUAUCGGGAGGAACACCGGUGGCGAAGGCGGCCUUCUGGACAGCGACUGACGCUGAGACGCGAAAGCGUGGGGAGCAAACAGGG
rnacentral:rRNA from 1 species